CCUACGGGUGGCAGCAGUGAGGAAUAUUGGUCAAUGGACGAGAGUCUGAACCAGCCAAGUAGCGUGCAGGAUGACUGCCCUAUGGGUUGUAAACUUCUUUUAUAAAGGAAUAAAACGAGGUACGUGUGCCUUUUUGCAUGUAUCGUACGAAUAAGGAUCGGCUAACUCCGUGCCAGCAGCCGCGGUAAUACGGAGGAUCCGAGCGUUAUCCGGAUUUAUUGGGUUUAAAGGGAGCGUAGAUGGGUUGAUAAGUCAGUUGUGAAAGUUUGCGGCUCAACCCUAAAAUUGCCUUUAAUACUGGCAGUCUAGAGAACAGUUGAGGUAGGCGGAAUGCAUGGUGUAGCGGUGAAAUGCUUAGAGAUCACGAAGAACCCCGAUUGCGAAGGCAGCUUACUAAACUAUAACUGACGUUGAGGCACGAAAGUGUGGGUAUCAAACAGGAUUAGAUACCCCUGUAGUC
rnacentral:rRNA from 1 species